CAUUCUGACGACAAACGCACUGUUGCAGGUAAAACACGUCCAACACCGAUCAGCCAUAACAGAACAGCCUUGACCUGUCGAGGCCUCCUCAGACCUCUGAAGGUGUGCUGUGGUAUCUGGCACCAAGACAUUGGCAGCAGAUCCUUGAAGAUCCUUGAAGUCCUGGAAGGUUGCAUGGAUCGGACUUGUUUGUCCAGCACGUCCCACAGUCGACACCUUGAACUGGUUGUUAUGUUCCUCAAACAUUCCGGAACCAUGUUGAACGAGGCCACAUGGUCUACAACAACGCUUAGGUAAACCUGAUCCAGACCAGAUCACCUGGACCAAACACAACAGACUGUGGUGGACUGUGUGUUCUGACAGCUUUCUAUCAGAACCAGCAUGAACUUCUUCAGCAGUUUGAGCUACAGUAGCUCGUCGGUUCGGCUUCUCUGCCCAAACUUUGCUUUGGCUUUUAUGUUCUGACCCGGCCAUCACAGUUUGGUUCUGGUCCUGAAGCUGCCUGGUGUAUCCUGACAGUGUCGUGGCUGAUCGGUGCAGAUGUUUGCAUGAAUUCAUCCAUCAGUGGACUGACUCCUGUGGAAUGAUUGACUCUGAUUAAACCAAGAGUUUAAUCAGACUCUGACUCUGAUAUUACUGAUGGAGUCUACCUGGCUGGUUUCCGUCGAAGUUUCCAUCUGUGGAGGAGGACGUCCUACAGGAGGACACGGCAGUCCAGCACCUCCUGCUCACCCCCUACGAGGAGGUGGCUUUGUACCAGCGCCCCCCGCAGGAGAACCACCGCCUCAUCGUCCUCGUCGGUGAGAGAGGGUCC